rnacentral:lncRNA from 1 species
UGGUGGGCUUACACUAGCCCUCAUUAAUGAAACUUGCCCUCUCGACGUUGUUCAAGAGCAAGUGGAAGUAAAAAAUGGCCUUCCAUUGACAUUUACACCGGUCCAUCCUAAUAAAGGGCUGAUCCCUGUCUCCACUGAUCUAAACAUCAAGUUCUCGGCUUCCUCAACCUGCGUUCAGUCCACUGUAUGGAAGCUCGACGGAUCAGCCGGGAAAUAUUUCAUAACAACCGGUGGAGUUGAAGGCAAUCCCGGCCGCGAAACUAUAAGCAACUGGUUCAAGAUUGAAAAAUAUGAACGUGACUAUAAGAUUGUUUUCUGCCCUACGGUGUGUGACUAUUGCAGGGUUAUAUGCAAAGAUGUUGGUAUUAUCAUACAAGAUGGAUAUAGACGUCUGGCUUUGAGUACUACUGAUGAUGAUGUUCCAUUUAGAGUUAUGUUUAAGAAGGCUUGAAAGUUAAAUUAUAUCUUCGAUAUACUCAAAUUCUGAAACUUUAACAAGUACUUUUUAAGCAAACUUAAAUUAUAUGUAUGUAAUAAGGAAGAUUUUACGUCAUUCGGGGCAGAGGUGGUGGGCUUACACUAGCCCUCAUUAAUGAAACUUGCCCUCUCGACGUUGUUCAAGAGCAAGUGGAAGUAAAAAAUGGCCUUCCAUUGACAUUUACACCGGUCCAUCCUAAUAAAGGGCUGAUCCCUGUCUCCACUGAUCUAAACAUCAAGUUCUCGGCUUCCUCAACCUGCGUUCAGUCCACUGUAUGGAAGCUCGACGGAUCAGCCGGGAAAUAUUUCAUAACAACCGGUGGAGUUGAAGGCAAUCCCGGCCGCGAAACUAUAAGC